rnacentral:rRNA from 1 species
GACGUAGGGGCGAGCGUUGUCCGGAUUAUUGGCGUAAAGCGUGCGUAGGCGGCUGCGCAAGUCGGUGUGAACCCGGCUCACCCGACUGCAUCGAUACUGCGUGCUAGAGUAGUAGGAGAUCGAUCUGUGUAGCGUGAAUGCGCAGAUAUCAGAGACACGUGCGAGCGAUCUCUGGCGUACUGACGCUCGAGCACGAGCUAGGGAGCGAACAGAUAGACCGUAGUCAGACAGUCUCUGCUACGU